UGGGGAAUCUUGCGCAAUGGGCGAAAGCCUGACGCAGCCAUGCCGCGUGAGUGAUGAAGGCCUUAGGGUUGUAAAACUCUUUCACCGGGGACGAUAAUGACGGUACCCGGAGAAGAAGCCCCGGCUAACUUCGUGCCAGCAGCCGCGGUAAUACGAAGGGGGCCUAGCGUUGCUCGGAAUUACUGGGCGUAAAGGGCGCGUAGGCGGAUCAGCAAGUUGGGGGUGAAAGCCCGGGGCUCAACCUCGGAAUUGCCUUCAAAACUGCUGAUCUAGAGUACGGGAGAGGUGUGUGGAACUCCGAGUGUAGAGGUGAAAUUCGUAGAUAUUCGGAAGAACACCAGUGGCGAAGGCGACACACUGGCCCGUUACUGACGCUGAGGCGCGAAACGCGUGGGGAGCAAACAGAUUAGNUACCCUGGUAGUCCACGCUGUAAACGAUGAUUGCUAGUUGUCGGCAGGCAUGCCUGUCGGUGACGCAGCUAACGCAUUAAGCGAUCCGCCUGGGGGAGUACGGUC
rnacentral:rRNA from 1 species